rnacentral:lncRNA from 1 species
UUAGGGUUGGCCCUGACCUAGUUUGACCAGUGUCCUUAUGAAAACGCAGAAGUUGGACAAAGACACACCCACAGGGAAAGCACCAUGAGAAGAUGACGGCAGAGAUCUGGGCGACGCGUCUACAAGCCAAGCGACACCAAAGGUGGCCAGCAGCCCAUGUGAAGCUGGAGGAGAGGCCUCGAAUAAAUGCUCCCUUACAGCGUUCAGGGGGAACUGACCCUGUCCACACCUUGACCUUGAACUUCUGGGCUCCAGAACUGUGAGACAGCAUGUUCUGUUGUUGAAGGAGCAGCGUGGCUAGAGGAAUUCCUGCAGCUUAGAUUUCGCUGGCACUGUUACCACUCCCAGAGAGGAGCGGCUGGAGUUCACGGCUGGUUCCUGACAAACUUCCUAAUUAAUCUGCUAAAGAUCAGAGGAGGACUAAUAGGAGCUGAAGACUGUGUGCGAGACCACCCCUCCGCCCUCUCCCUUUGUGUGUGCACGUGUGUGUGUGUGUGUGUGUGAGCGCGUGCGCGCAUGUGGUGCUGAGCUUGGCGGGAGAGAGAUGGCCUCACCAGCGACAAAGCAUUCCUGCUGCUGUUGCUGCCACCUACCUUCCCUGCUUUGGGAGGAUACAUUUUCUCCUCUUGCUUAGAAGUUUCAGGGAGUCACCCAAGCCUUCUUCUCCCAGAUACAACGGUGGAAUAAAAUAUCUUCCAGCCAACAUAUUUUUUGGAGACGGAAUCUCACUCUGUCACCUGGUUGAAGUGCAGCAGCGCGAUCAUGGCUCACUGCAACCUCUGCCUCCCGGUUUCAAGUGAUUCUCCUGCCUCCGCCUCCCGAGUAGCUGGGAUUACAGGCAUGUGCCACCCACCACGCCUGGGUAAUUUUUGUAUUUUUACUAGAGACAGGGUUUCACUAUGUGGGCUGGGCUGGUCUCAAACUCCUGACCUCUGGUGAUCUGCCCACUUCGGCCUCUCAAAGUGCUGGGAUUACAGGCAUGAGCCCCCGCACCCGGUUGCAACCAACUUUUUUGUGGAAUAUAGGAUCUUGAUGUUUGGAUGCCUGAAGGCAGAAGCUGUUGCACAUGGAAUGGAUUAAAGUUUUCCCCUCUGCAACCAAAAAUCCUUGGGGUCCCAGGAGCAAAAGAUGCUCCAUGGCACAGGACAAUUCAAGAAGGCCCGAGGUGAUAUUGAAGACUGCAGAGACAUCCAGCUCAGUUGUGUCUCCGGAGGUGUCCAGACUUUGCAGACAGACGUUGCACAUAAAGAGCUGAAAAACUGAGGAAGCUGAGCUGGAGAAGGAAGUCACUUCUACUCAGACUUGACCUGCGUCUGAUGCUAUGGGGCCUCUUAGGGUUACCUCAUGCUUCAUGCACCCCUUUCUCUGUUCUUCAGCAGAAGGCAGGGUGUAGGGAAGCGGGACUGUGCCUCCUUUCUCCCUGCCAGGCCUGACUCUCCAGGCCAAGAGACACCAUUAAGGAGUAUAAUUUGUUGAUCCAGGCUCUCCUUGCGUUUCAGUGCAGAGUGGCAUCGUUUUCUUUAUGACCUCGUAAAGUCACAGCCGAGAGGCCGAUUUGGAAAACAAACUGCCUCAGGUUGACAGAUAAUUAGAUACAGGGGACAUAUUAUAUGCCUUUGCAUAUAAAUGUGCUCCGAGGCGUGUUGGUUCAUCUGAAGUUGAGGUUAAAGGCGCGCCAGGUAUUCCUGACACAUCAGGAUAUAUAUUUUCAUACAGUCUCAGGUGCUGUGUUGGUUUUAUAGGCCUUUCAUCCUGGUGCUGACGGAUGGGGUGUGAUUGUGACCCAACUUAGAAGAAAGGGACUUCCCUUGCCCAGGGGCCUCCUGGCGUUUUUGUUUUGUGUUCUCCCUCUCCACCCCCACUUUCUCUUCUUCCUUGGGAAGGGAACUGUUCUUUGGACCUAGGAUUCUGCCGUGAGUGACUAAUGGCCUGAGUAGGAGGGACCGGGACUCAUUUUUCUUUUCUGGACUCUAAUAGGCCCAAUUAAUUCAGCUACAACAUGGGCCCUUACAAGCCUGGGACAAGCCUGGGUGGAAUUCUAUAUUGAGGGUAAGAAAAGGGAUGGAAGUAGAUGUUUUCCAGAAGGUUCUGUGGACUCUGGGGGUGACCUGUGGACAGCUGCUGCUGCCCACUACCUGGCAGUUUGGCUAUGUGAUACAUGUCAGCCUUACAAGGAGAUCCCCCUUACCCUGGAAUCUACUUUGGGGGAGCAGAACUUGAGCCUCAGGCAAAUCAGAGACGAGGGGGAAACUUUGCUUUUUCCUCCAGUGGCAGGGAGCUCUGGGCUGGGGAAAUGUCUUUUUGAACACAAAGUUCCAGUUGCAUUCAUCCACAGGAAAAUGUAAAGAGCUUAAUUUAAUGCCCUCUGGGAGUCAUUUCGAUUUAAAAGUGGUAUUAUAGCUUGUGGCUAGAAGAAUGGGCUUAACGGUUAGUCACCUUCUGUUUGGGCAUGUCAUUUAAUCUCUUUGAGGCUGUUUCUUCAUCUUAAAAUAUGAGUGAGAAGGUAGUACCCACCUUACAAUGUGGACAAGAUUAAUUUAGGGAAAACACGUAGCACAGGGCUUCACCCAUGGUAAGUAUUUCAUAAACGGUAACUAUUUUUAACAAUGACAAUUCACAGAGUUAAUCCUAAUAAAAAAUGAUUACAGAAGAGGACGCCUCCACCCACAGGAAGGAGCCAGCACGGUGGGGAGCUGUUUCACCAGGGGAGUGUUCUCAGCAGCUGCCACACGUGGAGUUGUGGAGCAGGAUCUUGGCAGUGGACUGCCACGGGAGCUCUGGGGAAAAAGGACCAGUUGGACUCCAGUACCUCCUGAGAGACCACCACCCUCCAUGCCUCCAGCUCAUGCCCAGCUCUGAGUCAGACGGACUCUUCCUGUUGUACUGCGAGGUUCUGCAAACCUUGAAGGGCAAACACAGUGAGGGUCUCUGACUUGCUGUGUGGACAGCCCACUCUCUGACAGCCCAGAUCAUCUGAAGCUAUCCCUGGGCUGGGAGCUGGAAGCCAUUCUUGUGAACCACUCCUUAUACCUUGAGCGAAGCCUCUUUGGGUCCCAGAAGUCUGAAGCUCCAGCUGCCUGGCAAGACUGAGUCUAGAUGAUUUCUUGGGUACCAGUAGUUUGGCAUUUAAAAAUACUGGAUUAACUGCAGUGUAAACUUAGAUUGCAUUUCAGAUUGUAAACAAUAACCCCCGUGCUUCAUGUGAUGUUAAAUCAGAAAUGAGCUAUUAGCCAAGCUAGUCCUCUUAUGAAUGAGCCCCUAACCCUGAUCCAGGGAUCGUUGAAUGAAAAUCAUCAAAAUGAUUUAUCUUCACUUUACCUAUUGUCUCACAAGAAUCUCAUCACUCAGGGAAAAGGAGGGUGUUCUUCAGGGAACGGAGGGCAUGAGGAAGGGGGAUUUCCUUAUAUCUCAACUUUCAGAGGGAGCUGAGUUGUAAACAGAUGGAACAAGGUGUGUACGAGAAGCCUCUUAGAUUUAGUCUUUCAUAUCAAGGCUCUUGCUGAAAAUCCUGGCACAGCUGUGAAAUGAGGGGAGCUCUGACACACAGAGACACGCUCCUUGCCUCACCAACCUUCCCAUACACAGUCAUGCGCACAGAGAGCAGGUACCAAUACUGAAAAUGCCCUUCCGGAGUUUCCUCAGCUUAAACCCUUGACAGCAUUAAGUGAGGAAGGAGUUUCCUUGACCUGGGGAAGAAGAACCAACUCAUAAACAUGGAACUGUG